GUGGCGCACGGGUGAGUAACACGUGACUAACCUACCCUGGAGUGGGGGAUAACUGAGGGAAACCUUAGCUAAUACCGCAUAACACCUACGGGUCAAAGGAGCAAUUCGCUUCAGGAGGGGGUCGCGGUCGAUUAGUUAGUUGGCGGGGUAAUGGCCCACCAAGACUGUGAUCGAUAUCCGGCCUGAGAGGGCGCACGGACACACUGGAACUGAAACACGGUCCAGACUCCUACGGGAGGCAGCAGUGGGGAAUUUUGCGCAAUGGGGGAAACCCUGACGCAGCAACGCCGCGUGGAGGAUGAAGUACUUCGGUACGUAAACUCCUUUCGAUCGGGACGAUAAUGACGGUACCGGAAGAAGAAGCCCCGGCUAACUUCGUGCCAGCAGCCGCGGUAAUACGAGGGGGGCGAGCGUUGUUCGGAAUUAUUGGGCGUAAAGGGUGCGUAGGCGGUUUGGUAAGUCUCUUGUGAAAUCUCAGGGCUCAACUCUGAGACUGCAAGGGAAACUGCCGGGCUUGAGUAUGGGAGAGGUGAGUGGAAUUCCUGGUGUAGCGGUGAAAUGCGUAGAUAUCAGGAGGAACACCUGUGGCGAAAGCGGCUCACUGGACCAUAACUGACGCUGAUGCACGAAAGCUAGGGGAGCAAACAGGAUUAGAUACCCUGGUAGUCCUAGCCCUAAACGAUGACUGCUUGGUGUGGCGGGUACCCAAUCCCGCCGUGCCGUAGCUAACGCGUUAAGCAGUCCGCC
rnacentral:rRNA from 1 species